UACGAAGGGUGCAAACGUUGCUCGGAAUUAUUGGGCGUAAAGCGCGCGUAGGCGGCUUUGUAAGUUAGAGGUGAAAGCCCCGGAGCUCAACUCCGGAACUGCCUUUAAGACUGCAUCGCUAGAAUUGUGGAGAGGUGAGUGGAAUUCCGAGUGUAGAGGUGAAAUUCGUAGAUAUUGGGAAGAACACCGAUGGCGAAGGCAGCCAUCUGGACCGACACUGACGCUGAGGCGCGAAAGCGUGGGGAGCAAACAGG
rnacentral:rRNA from 1 species